ACUUCAGGAUUUUGUCUCUUUUGUUAUUUAUUUUUUUUGGUUUUUCCUUU
rnacentral:sRNA from 1 species